GUUUAUUUCCAGGGCUGCUGGCAAUGUAAGCUCACUCUCUGAGCAGAUACUGAAGCCCGUGUGUUAUAUGUAAGGGUUCUAUUCAAGGAGGAGGCUCUUAGUGCCACAGUGUGCCUGCUGGGUUCAGGUGCACGUGUUCCUUACAGCAUUACUCAUACUCGAGAAAUACUUGUUAUUCAUACUCAGAAGUUACUCAAGCACGACUCGUGGUGGAAAAUUGUGCAAAAAUAAUGUUUCUUUGUGACAACUGAUCCCAGUCUGAUGUUUCAUAGAUGAUAGCUUGGAAACCUGCCUGUACAGAGUCCCUCUCUGUCAGAGAUGUUCCACGGGGAUGAAGAAAAUAGAGCCGUGAGGAGAAGGGGUGGAUGUGCAGUGGUUGUUCACACACUGAAAGCUUUGUGUCACAGCAGCUCUGAUGCUUUUCUGAAGGGAUGAUCCUGCAAUCGUUAGGACUGUCACCAAACCCUGCCCUGGAUGAACAUGGCUAGUGUUCACACUGCUUAUAGUGUGUAUGUUGUGUCAGCCAGGCUGUUGGAUGUUCCUAUGUGUUGGACAGGAGUUCUCCUCAGGGCUGCUGGGCCCCAGCAGGGUGCUGGGCUGUGCAUCGGUCCCCAGAGAGAUUCAGGAGCUCCUGCUGUUGUUCAGCCUCUUCUGGCUUUGGCUGUUUGAGGAGCAACGUGAAGAUUGAAUCCCAGGAUCCACAGUUCAGGGUGUGUUCUUGCAAAAGUAGCCCAAGGAAUCUGGAAGAUGAUGGACCCAGUGCAUGUUGCAUGCUCCCAUUGAGCUUAUGGACAGCCAGAAAAGCUGUAGAUGAAGUGGAAGUGCACUGCCAAGAGCUGUCGCAUUGGAGAGUGUGUUUGUGGCAUUCAUGUGGUCAGAAAGUCAUACCAAGUGUCUCCUCCCCAGACUCACAAAUUCCUCUUCUCAGAAAGGGUCAUGUUUUCUGUUUUCCAGGCAUUUAAACAUAUAGAAGGCAUUUUCUUGUUUCUUUGCUUUACACAGUUCUGCAAGCAGAGUUCAUAUAUUAUACAUGUAUAUAUAUAUAAAACCACUUUAGAACUUACUGCGCUUUCCUUCUUCCCCUUGACCUUUACUGUUUCAGUAGAUCCCUUUUCAUUCUAUUGUAUGGUGUUUUUUUUUAAGGAAGCUUAGGUAGUGGGUAGAGGGUAGGAAAUAAUGGUUGUUCUGGAAUGGUGUGGACACAGGUCCUGUCCUAUUCAUUGCAAAUCAGAAGUGUUUUCCCUGCACUGUCAAUCUCUGCCUGCAUGACUAAGUCUUAUUUGUUCUACUCAGAUCCCUCUAGUUCCUGUGCAGCUGUACCUGUAAGAGCUGACAUUUGCUGAUGUGCCACUUCGAAUUCAAAUAUUAAAAGAUUAAUAAUGAGAUAAUUCAAUUAUCACAUUUAUUUAUUUGUUUAUGCUCUUCUUUCAUUCACUUCAAUCUUU